UAGUCCCAGCCGUAAACGGUGUCGACUUGGUGUAGGGGGUAUUGACCCCCCUGUGCCGGAGCUAACGCGUUAAGUCGACCGCCUGGGGAGUACGGCCGCAAGGUUAAAACUCAAAGAAAUUGACGGGGGCCCGCACAAGCGGAGGAGCAUGUGGCUUAAUUCGAUGCAACGCGAAGAACCUUACCUGGGCUUGACAUGAUACUGCACGCCCCGUGAAAGCGGGGUUCCUUCGAGGGUGUAUCACAGGUGCUGCAUGGCUGUCGUCAGUUCGUGCCGUGAGGUGUUGGGUUAAGUCCCGCAACGAACGCAACCCCUGUGUCUAGUUGCCAGCAAGUAAUGUUGGGGACUCUAGACAGACUGCCUGUACAAGCAGGAGGAAGGUGGGGACGACGUCAAGUCAGUAUGGCCCUUACGCCCAGGGCUGCACACGUGCUACAAUGGCCGGUACAGAAGGAAGCAAUACCGCGAGGUGGAGCAAAUCCCCAAAACCGGCCCCAGUUCGGAUUGGAGUCUGCAACUCGACUCCA
rnacentral:rRNA from 1 species